UGGCCUAUAGCUCAAUUUGGUAGAGCUCUUGACUGUUAAUCAAGCGGUUGCUGGUUCGAGUCCAGCUAGGUCAGCCA
rnacentral:tRNA from 1 species